rnacentral:antisense_RNA from 1 species
UCCCCUGACGGGAAGGCGACGUUGGGGGGCGGCUGGGUUUACCCUUCGAGAGCUCUGAUGGAUUUGUUGACUCCUCGGUGGGAGAAAGGCUCGGCCUACUGCAGGUGUUAACGCUAGGCCAGGCUGGAGCUGUGGACGUCAGUUUCUCAGCUCCCCGCUGUUCACUUCGAACGUGACGUGACCUCGAGGUCUGCUCUCCCCUUCCCUUUAGCUGACAAUGUGUCAGUGCUUGAAUAAGUCAGUCUGACAGGAACGGU